rnacentral:SRP_RNA from 1 species
GGCAGGGCUAGGCCGGGUGUUUAGGCCGCACCUCUUUCCGUGAAACGGUCUUUAGCGGAGCCGAAUGCCAAGGGCGGCGCAGGCCAGCUUAUCUGGUCCUGUUCGUCAACUGAGAAGUCCUGUCCUGCAGGGCUGUGCCUGCAGUGAACCGGGUCAGGCACGGAAAGCGUGACGGCUUAAUCCGAAAGAAGCAAGCCGUUGUGCCCGAAAGUGAGCAGCCCUAAGCUGUUGACACACUGCUUGCGGGUCAGCAGGAUGGAGGAGACGUCCGGGGCAGCCAGGUUUUCUGGCGUGUGCCCACCGAGGUGCCCUGCC